rnacentral:rRNA from 1 species
UACGUAGGGUGCGAGCGUUAAUCGGAAUUACUGGGCGUAAAGCGUGCGCAGGCGGUUUUGUAAGCCAGAUGUGAAAUCCCCGGGCUCAACCUGGGAACUGCAUUUGUGACUGCAUCGCUGGAGUACGGCAGAGGGGGAUGGAAUUCCGCGUGUAGCAGUGAAAUGCGUAGAUAUGCGGAGGAACACCGAUGGCGAAGGCAAUCCCCUGGGCCUGUACUGACGCUCAUGCACGAAAGCGUGGGGAGCAAACAGG